UGUUGACAUCCCUACACAUUGCUUAGCUUUAGCUGUGAGGGCAAGGAUAGGCUUUGGACACAGACCGACUUUUAAGUUGAACUUUCUGACUCAAACGCUCCUUAGAUUCAUUCUGGUAGGGAAAUCCCAUCUUAUCAUAGGACAAGUUAGGCCUUCAACCACCCUGAUAUUUGAGUUAAUAAACAAUUUUAUUUUGAACUUUGAAUCUGUUGUCUGUGUCCUGCUUCAUGAUGCCUUCUCACCCUACACUUGCUUUUACUUUGGAAUGAACGCCAUUGCCUGAUCAUGAACACCUUGAAAAAUGACAUUCACAUGACUUGCCUGAGGGUACUCUUUAAUUAUAAUUAAGUUAUGGCUCAGUUACAUUUCUACAUGUCUGUGCAUUUCUAUUAACAGCCUGAAGAUUGUUAGAGACAUGAAAGCUCUUGGAGGAGAACAGCAACUUGAAAUGCAGCAGGUAUUCAACACUGGAACUAGAGUGCGCGUCUCACCCACCCUCUGUUUUCUACAUAUGAGUUUGCAGAACCACCUUGCUUGCUGUAGGCUUCCACACACCUUCCGGUUCUCUCAGUGUCUCCUCACCAUGCUUCCAGGUCUAGUCUCUCUUGGCUUGCGUAUCUUGCCUCAGUCAUGCGGUCCAGCUCCUGUAUGCUCCCGGACCUCUGAUUCUCCAACCAGGAUAGAUCCAAACCCUGUCUGUGUUCAGCAAGGCUCCAUCAGUGCCCCCUGCUCUCUGCGGUAAGCCGUUCACCAUUUCUCGGUUGCCCUUGCAUACAGUCCUUCUUCCCUUUUUAUGAUUUCGGUUGAGUUUGAUUGACUAUACAGUGUAUGUUGGUUCCGCAGUGGGAUUUUUCUUCCUUGCCAAGUCUUCUUCGUGUCAGUAGUACUAGGGACUCCAACUGGGUAGUUCUUACUCUUCCUCAUCACAGUAUGGUUAAAGUGGAUGGGGGUCUCCUAUCUUGCAGGAAUACAUAGAUUUGGGAGGGAUGUAAAAGGUGGGAGUGGGACAAGAAGAGAGAGGGGACAGUGAAGAAGGGGGUGCAUAUGAUGUUUCCCAUGAUAGUCAACACUGGUCCAAUUGAGGUCUUCCCUCCCCAUGAUAUUCCCCCGCUGAGUACCACCCCCUGGGGAAUAUUGGGUAGUGGCCUCACUUCCCUGGCCUCAUGGAAAGGGGAUCCCCCAUGGGAGCAGUGACAAUACCCUGGGAUUCAUCACAGUAACAACUCCCCUGCUAAAUCAACUUCCCCUGAAAAUGGAUGGCGCUGGAUUGUCAGGCCCAUACCUGGCAGCCGUUGGUCCUUACAGCCACGAGCGCUAAGUGCCAGCGACAAGUUGGAGGGUUGCUAUGAUGCAAACGGAAGCCCGGUGUGAGGGCCCAGGUGGAGCCGCCACAGCUGCAGAUCUUUGUGGUAGUAGCCAAUAUUCAAACGAGAGCUUUGAUUGCCAAACUGGACAUGGGUUCAAUGUGAACAGCAGUUAAACAUGGGACAGUCAGUCUUAAGAGAUGGGAGUGUGCCAUUCAGAAGGGGACAGACAAGGGCCUCCAUUGUACUCACAUGAUCGAGAGGGAGUCUGGUUCAGAUCCUGAACAGGGAGUGGUGGAGACAGGAGCCCUUGCAGUAUCCUGUGCUGUAACACAAAUGAUCCUGGAAAAGCCGUUGGAAACCCCGGGUAGAGUUCUCAUUUCUUUAAGAAGCGCAGGGCACACUGGAAUCGUUUCACCACGAAAGAGUGGCCAGAGCAUUUGGAAGAGUCAUGGGUCAAGUGACAUCCGGUCAGGUAUUGUUUGUCCUUGAGAACCCAAGGGAAAUGGUGUAAAUCUCGUGACAGGCAAUACCUAUAUCCGCAGCAGGUCUCCAAGGUGAACAGCCCCUGGCAUUUUGAAACAAUGUAGGUAAUGGAAGUCGUAAAUACAGAUCUGUAACUUCGGGAUAAGGAUUGGCUUUAAGGGCUGGGUCAGUCGGCCGGGCCAAAAAACGGCGCUGGGCACAUACGUGGGUGGAUGCGGCAUCUCUUCCCUGGAAUGGCGCCAUCUCUGGAUGGGAGCCAGGCCCUUCCUGUGUAUCACCCCUACUGCGGUGGCUAGCUUUCUCUGUUCUCCUUUGGGGAAUCAGUCCUGGCGUUCUGCCUCAGCAGAUGCCCAGCAGCUGAAUUAGCACUGGAGCAUAAUAGGUGAAUCUGACUGUUUAAUAAAACAAAGUAUGUUGACGCAAUGUGAUGUAUGCCCAGUGCUCUGAAUGUCAAAGUGCAGAAAUUCAAUGAAGCACAGUGGGAGUAACUAUGACUCGCUUAAGGUAGCCAAAUGCCUUGUCAUCUAAUUGGUAAUGAACAUGAAUGGAUGAACGAGAUUCCUACUGUCCGUACUUACUAUAUAGUGAAACCACAGCCAAGGGAAAGGGCUUAGCAGAUUCAGUGGCGAAAGAAGAACCUGUUGAGCUUGACUCUUGUCUGGCACUAUGAAGAGACAAGAGAGGUGUUCGGUAAGUGGGAGGCCCUUGGGCCACCAGUGAAAUAUCACUAAUUGUAUUGUUUUUUCACUUACCCAGUGAGCCGGCGUACCGAGCACCCACUGGGCGCCACCCACUCCAGGAACAGUGGCAGGUAGGGAGUUUGAAGGAGGCUGUACACCUGUUAAAUGAUAACGUAGGUGUCCUAAGGCUAUUUAGGGAGGACAGAAACCUCAGACAGAGCAGAAGGGCGAAAGCAGGAGGUGUCAUAAAAAGUACCACAGGCAUAAGUGGCUUGUGUAGUCAAGCGUUCAUAGUGACGUUGCUUUUUGAUCCUUCAAUGUUGGAUUGUUCACACCAUUAAUAGGGAACUUGAGCUGGGAUUAGACCAUAAUGAGACAGGUUAGUUUUACCCUACUGAUGAUAUGUUGUUGCAAUAGUAAUUCAGCUCAGUAUGAGAGGAAGCACAGAUUCAGACAUUUGGUGGAUGUACUUGGCCAAGGAGCCACUGGGUGAAGAUAACAUCUCUGGGAUUAUGACUGAACGCCUCUAAAUCAGAAUCCCCCCAAAACCGUAAUUAUACUGCAACACUGUGGAGCCUCGGUUGGCUUUGGAUAGCUGACCUCUGGGCCGGUGUCUAGUGCCACUCACAUUGGCACGAGGGUGUGGACAGAAGGUGCACACCACUUUCGCCCAUAGUGCACCACAUGUUUGGAACCUGGUGUUAAAUCAUUCGUAGAUGACCUGAUUCUGGGUCAGAGCUUCGAAAGUAGCAGAACAGCUACCUCUCUUCAAUCUACUGAACGUCAUCCUC
rnacentral:rRNA from 1 species